AUGGGGGGGCAGGUGGUGGGGGGCCCACAGGCAGCCCUGGGGCUGGGCCUGGGGGGGCCUUACCUGGGCCCUGACACGCCUGCUCUGCGCACGCUGAGUGAGUACGCCCGUCCCCACGCCAUGUCCCCUCUUGGGGCCGCCGCACGGGCACAGCAAGGCCACCACCCGCACCUCCACCCGCACGUACACCCCCACGCACACGCACACGCACACGCACACCCCCACGUCCACCCCUCCUUCUUCCUGCCCCAGUUCCAGAACCCGGCGCUCGCGCACCCGCACCACCUGCCCACCGACGCAGCCACCGCGGCGGCCAUCUUGGGCUUCCUGUACGGGGGGAGUUUAGAGGGGGGGCAGGGGAUGGCGGCGCAUGGGCAUCCAGGGGUAGGGCCGGGGGGGAUGGGGGCUGCAGGGUUGGGGGGCAUGGGGUUUCCUCACGCCAUGGCCCACCGGGACCGCAUGAAGCCCGGUUUUGAGUUCAAGAGCGAGGAGCGUGUGUAUCCAGCGGGGGCGAUCACGGAGGCCGCGCUGUCUCUGUCCCACGCGCACACACACAGCCACACACACCCUCUGCUGCUGGGAGCGGGGGCUUCGGCGGGCGGGUCGACGAGUGAUGUGUCGCUCUAUGGCACCCCUCCUCCAUCUGCACCCCCCUCCCAGAGCCUCCCAAACACCCCCCUCACCACACCAGCUGCCCGUCACCCAAACCCCACCCCCCAGUCCAUCACAGCUCCACCCUCUGCCUCUCUAAUCCCACCCACUCUCCCUACCCAGCCCCCGCCAGCAGCGUCACAAGCCCCUCCCACCCCCACAGCCCCACCCCAAUCUGCCCAAGCCCCUCCCAUUGGCUCAGUUCUGCACCACCACUCUCCUCACCCGUCCUUCUCAAACGUUAACCCCGCCCACCCCGCACCUGUGCCCGCCCCUCAGUCCGCCUCCUCCGACAGUUACUCCUCCUCCCAGAGCCGCUCCCCCCUGAGUGAGAGAGCGUGCAGCGUAGAGAGAGAGAGGGAGAGGGAGCGUAGUGUGCCAGCAGAGAGAGAGAGAGAAAGGGAGCGGGAGAGAGGAGCAGUGGCUGCAGGAGGAGGAGGAGGAGGUGGUGGUGUAGGAGGAGGAGGAGUUGCAGCUGGAGGAGCAGCAGCAGGAGGAGGUGCAGGAGCAGGAGGCGCAACAACGGGGGCAGGAGCAACAGCAGGAGCAGGAGCAGGAGAGACACUCGGCCGUCUGCCGAUGCUGAACGUGACGCCACAUCAUCACCAGCACUCCCACAUCCACUCCCAUCUACACCUGCACCAGCAAGAUACAGGUACUACCACACACAUACACACACAUACACACACACUCAUACACACACACACAGAGACACACACACACACACACACACACACACACACAUACACACACAGACACACACACACACACACACACACACACACACACACACACACACACACACACACACAUACACAUACAUACACACACACACACACACACACACACACACAGAGACACACACACACACACACACACACACACAGACACACACUCAGUGAAAUUAAACUGCGUCUUGUGUUUCCUUCUACAUCUCUCACCCCCAGCAGCGGGAGGGGUGCACCCCCUGAUGGACCCGCUGGCGUCCGGCUCCCCCCUCGCCCGCCUGCCCUACCCCGGGGCCACCCUGGGGCCCCCCAUCCUGGCGCACCCCCUCACUGA
rnacentral:lncRNA from 1 species